GCCCGGGUGGCGAAACCGGCAAACGCGACGGACUCAAAAUCCGUUGGGCGCAAGCCCUUGAGAGUUCGAGUCUCUCCCCGGGCA
rnacentral:tRNA from 1 species